AGCAGAUCCACCCCCAUGGCCAUAUCCAGGGUGCAAUUCAAAACGACCGGACUCGUAAACCCGUAAAACAAAUCCAAAACUGUCAGCAUUCCUGAUGGAGGGAGACAGGGAGGAGGAGAGAGGUGGACUGGACCCUCUGACAGUCAGAGGUGGAGGAGAAUGGAGCGAGAAAAAAGAGACAGGGUGAGUGUUUGUCUUCAUCCUCUCUUACCCAGAUGUUGCAUCAGUGAUGGCCUGAUGCUCUCACAGUCUCUACACAAUCUCUUGCAUGGGGAAUGAUUGCUCUCUCUGGGAAAGGACCAGAAGGCUGUAGAAAUGAUAAUCACACAGCGGGUUUAACUCCUCUUACUUUAGUUCUAAGAGCAGAACAGUUUCAAAAGACUUUGCCUCUUUAAGCAGUACGAUGUUCUUUUGCACAAAAUGUGAUUUUGUAUUUUGAAGUUCUCUGAGAUAUUAAACAAAUGUUUCACCAUGCUAGCAGCAUGACUCUAUAGGGAUGACCACCACACAUGACCACUUCGGUCCAGACUGAAAUAUCUCAACAACUAUUUGUUGGAUUGCCAUGAAAUAUUGUACAGAUAUUCAUGAUGCUCAGAAAAUGAUCCCUACUGUCUUUGGGGAUCCUCUGACUUUUCAUCCAGUGCUGCCAUUAGGUCAAAUUUCUGAUUUGUCCAACCAAUACAGAGAUGUAUAUCAAAAGUGAUGUUGCCAUAUAUGUCACC